rnacentral:rRNA from 1 species
CUUUACUAUAACUUAACAUGGUCUUUGAGUAAGAGAUGUGUAGGAUAGGUGGGAGGCUGUGAGGGGGUGCCGCUAGGCAUCUCGGAGCCGACGUUGAAAUACCACCCUUCUGUUGCUUAGAGACUAACCUCGGAGAGGGGGACAGUGUUAGGCGGGUAGUUUGACUGGGGUGGUCGCCUCCGAAAGAGUAACGGAGGCUCCCAAAGGUGCCCUCAGCACGCUUGGUAACCGUGCGAAGAGCGUAUAAGUACAAGGGCGCUUGACUGAGAGACAGACAAGUCGAACAGGAACGAAAGUUGGGUUAAGUGAUCCGGUGGUUCUGAAUGGAAGGGCCAUCGCUCAAAGGAUAAAAGGUA